rnacentral:guide_RNA from 1 species
AAUCAACAAAUAAGCGAUGUAAAAGAUUGUUAUCAGUGAGGUAAU